GACGAACGCUGGCGGCGUGCUUCAUACAUGCAAGUCGAACGAGAAUCGGUAGCUUGCUAUCGAGGAAAGUGGCGGACGGGUGAGUAAUAUGUAGAGAAUCUGCCCUAGAGUGGGGGACAACAGUUGGAAACGACUGCUAAUACCCCAUAUGAGCGUACCUGCAAUGGUAUUCUUGAAAACUCCGGUGCUCUAGGAUGAGUCUGCAUCUGAUUAGCUAGUUGGGGGUGUAAUGGACCACCAAGGCGACGAUCAGUAGCUGGUUUGAGAGGAUGAUCAGCCACAAUGGGACUGGAGACACGGCCCAU
rnacentral:rRNA from 1 species